GCGUGGGUAGCCAAGAGGUCAAAGGCGCUGGACUCAGACUCCGGUCUUGUAGAAGUACGUGGGUUCAAUUCCCGCCCCACGCACCA
rnacentral:tRNA from 1 species